rnacentral:misc_RNA from 1 species
CUGGAUCACCUCCUUUCUAAGGAGAACUCAAGUAGUCUGAGGGCUAUUUGCAGUGUCCUAAGGUCAGACGUUGGGUGCGGGGUGACGACUUACGUUGUUUGAUUUAGAGGGNNCNCGGUGGAUGCCU